rnacentral:rRNA from 1 species
AUUGAACGCUGGCGGCAGGCCUAACACAUGCAAGUCGAGCGAGCGGCGGAUGGGUGCGUAAUGUUUGGGAAACGGCCAGAUGGAGGGGGAAAACUACUGGAAAUUGUAGCCAAUAACGCAUACUAGAAGAUGUGCCCAGAUGGGAUUAGCUGGUAUGUGGGGUAAUGGCUCACCUAGUCGAGGAUCCCUAUCUGGUCGGAGAGGAUGACCAGCAACCCGGGAACGGGGACACGGUCCAGACUCCUACGUGAGGCAUCAGUGGGGAAUAUUGCACAAGGGGCGCAAGCCUGAUGCCGCCAUGCCGCGGGGGUGAAGAAGGCCUUCGGGUUGUAAAGCACUUUCAGCGAGGAGGCGUUACUCGCAGAAGAAGCACCGGCUAACUCCGUGCCAGCAGCCGCGGUAAUAC